GGAGAGCGGAGGAAUGAAGGAGAGCAGAGAGGAGAGGCUUGGAGAUGAGGAAACUGAGUCUCAGAGAAGUCGAGGGACUGGCUCAGAGAUGUACAGCAUGGCAUUGCUGGAGCCGGCCUGGAAGACAAGCAGUCUCCCUCCAAUUGCACACUGUUUUCUCUGAGGCUCUGCAUUGUUGGAGGAAGGGUCAGAGGGGCUGGAGAGGAAGAAACAAUGCAAAUAUGAGGCAGCAGAAGGGAAAUAGAGGUACUGGGGGCUUCCAGCCUCAUGCUGCUUGCUCUCUCCUGAAUCCAUCGUUGGUCUUUCUGUCCUAAUCCGACCACUCCAUCGCCAGCCUCCAUUCCUCUGAAUGUUGAUAGAAGAGCUCCGGACUCUUUCCAGCUUUCCAGACUUUUCCACUCACACAGACUCAAGGGUCCUCCCAACUGUCUUGUGAAAAGAGGCCAUCCCAUUCCACAGGAGGGGAAACUGAGGCUUGGAAAAGGCACAUGGUCCCAUGUAGCGUCACUGUGGCUCUUCGGACUCUUCCAGGUCCCUCUGCCUGUCCUGGGCCUGCCAUUGUUCCACCUCCAGGUCUGCCCACUGCCUGCACCUCUCCUCCCCGUCUCACCUUGCCCUGCACUGCAGCUGCCACGACCUCCAGCAGCCCUUUAGACCAACGUCCUAAAGCGAUAAUGCCAUGAUGUUCCUGGCUUUUUCAAAACCCUUUUCCUAGAGUGUGUUAACCAGAAUGGCAGUCCCACGAGGAUCUCUGUGAUGAAAGGGCUUCAUGGUCAAAUAGUUUGGGAAACGUGGCUUCCUUUGUCCCUUCCUUCUCAGUUUGCCAAAUUUAAUUAUGCCACACCCCCAUGCACCUUCUUUUGUUUCAUGAUAUCAUUAUUUAAUACCCCAUUUUGGAAUAUUAUCUAAGAAAUGUGGCCUGAGGAAUGAAGUUCAAAUCUCUCCUCUUGGCGUCCAAAGGGCUUCACCAUCAGAUCUCAACCUUGUUUUCCACCGUGCCUCUCUUGGACAUCCAGAGCCCUUGCCCUCCCCUCAGUAGUCCCUGGUGUCCACAAAAUCCAUGGUCUCACCCUCCCUGUUUUUGCUCAGACCUCUCAACUCCCGUCAUGUAUCUCAGAGCUCUGUUUCUCCAGGGACACCCCCAACCUCUCACCCCUUGGCGGUGCACUGACUGCUGCAUCUCACUCAGCCAUUGGUUGGGUGCAAAGUAAAUUUUCUUUCCAGGCAUGAACCUGAGUCCCAAACUCAACCCUAAGCUCUUUAAGGGUGCAAGUGUCAUCUUGGGUUUCUGCGUCUCCUGACUUCCUCCCCAGGCCUGGUGCAGAAGCACUGGCAAUGCGUCUUAUGCUGGGCAGACGGUGCCCAGCAAAGUUGAAUAGAUAUGUGGCAACAGGCUGGCUCAGCUGGAGUUUCACCCUCAGUAGGGAGGAACACAUAACUCCUUCUUGCUGUGGUAUGGGAGUCCCAGGGUCUCAGGACAGUAGAGGCCACUGGUCCACACAUGUCUUCUAUGUUCAGUUUGAUCUGAAUUUGAGAUUAGCGAUUCUCUUUCUCCUCUCCCUAGUGGGAGAACAACAGGAGCUGGGCUUUGGCUGUAGCAGCAGAGGUCCCAGUUAGACUCAAGGAAUAACUUUCCAAGUAGCAGAGACUGUGGACCAUUUGCCAGAUUGGAUUUCAGUGAUUGGUUUUAGACUAAGAGGACUUUCUCUGUUGUCCUUAAGGAUUUAGGGGUGACUGUGUUCUCCCAAGAGGUGGAUAAGAUGACCUCUUUUGGGCUUUUCUAUCCCUGUAAUUUCCAGAGCUGCCAGCUCUCUGGGUCCCUGGGGUCACAAAGGGAGGAAGAAUUUCGACACAGGGAAGGAGGUGGGAGGAAAGGGGAGAGGGGUUUGUGUUGGGGGAACAGACCCCAACCUCUGCAGCUGGGGCAUGUACUGCCCAGAGGAAGGAGGUUGGCGUGCCAAACCGCCCCAGUGGCUCUUGGAGCCUCUCUGGGGCUGCUCCCCCACUCACGCGCCACAGUUAUUUUUAGCACUGGGAUGUGCAGAACAUGCUACAGAGAAACAGAGUGGAAAAUCUGACACUCAGAGCCCCGCUUGGAGGGAGACACAGUUCUUCCAGCCGGGCGCCACUCACGUGUCUGAUUUGCAUCUUGCACGUUUCUCCAAGCAGCCCGACUACUUUGAAUUCCAGCUGGCUCCCGGAGCUGACCCACAGCCUCCUGGACAGGGCCUGGGGUCCUUGCACUUGGCAGGUGGCGAUGGCUCUGGUCAGGCUCCCCUUGCUUCUGCUGGCCAUCAGAAUUGUGACCUGCAUACAAGCAUGGGGCGCUACAUAAAAAGCCCAGUGGUCGUCUCCUGGGUGUCCCAGACAUCAUGUGGAGAAGACAGGGCAGGUCUUAGGAUUGUUGUUGGGUAGGGGAGGAAAGCCAGGCCCAGACAAGGCAUCUAAGGACCUGAGGUCACACAGAGAGGGAAUAACAGAGCUGGCCCUCAGGAGGGUCAGCCCCCUCUGUCCUUGGGGCAUCCCACUGGGAAUGCAAUGUCUAGGAAGCCUAGAGUCGAAGUCCAAACCAGCUCAGGAGACAAGGAGGUUGUGUAGUGGAUAUUUAAUUAUAAAUUACUUUAUGUUUUUUCCCUUCUUAUUACAAAAACAAUGCAUGCUCUUUGUAGAAAAUUUAAAAAUACAGAUAAGCAAACAAGAAAAUUAAAAACACCCAUAAUCCCAGCACUCAGAGAUAAACCCUGUAAAUAUUUUGGUAUGUUGCUGAAUAUACCACCAGGCUUUUCCUUUUUCUUCUGUAAAACAUUUUCAUUUAUUUUUAAUUACACCUGUAAUAUAGGAACACAUUUUUUGUUAGAAAAAUUCAAACAAUACAGAUCAAGCUAAAGUCGCCUCUCUCCCUCCCCAACCGAGCUUCCCUUUUCUGCAGAGGUAAUCACAGUUCUAAUUUGAUGUAUAUCGUUCCUGAUCUUUUUUUAAGUGUACACACACAUUCAUAUCAUAUAGAGAUAUGUGGUUUUAUUUUUAGUGUGUUUGGAUGGGCUUUUUUCCCAACAGAAAUGGUAGCAUAUUGCAUGUGUUGUUCUACACUUUGAUUUUGUCACCUAUUAGUCUUGGGGUCCUCUCAGUGUCAGUGUUUAGAGCUCUAACUCAUUUGCUCUAACGGCUGGGUAGAAUUCCCUUGCAUGCAUACAUCAGAGUUUAUUUAGGCAUUCCCUUGUGAUAGACUUUUUGAUUGCAUCCACUGUGUGUGUGUGUGUGUGUGUGUGUGUGUGUGUGCGCGCGCGCACGUGUGUGAUUGCAACACUGCCUUUCAGUGCUCUCAUAUGUGCCUCCUUGGGUGAGAAAGCUUCUCAAGGGUCAAAGCCGAGAUGAGAAAUGGCUAGUUACUCUCGUUUUAUGCGCAUUAAGAAAAUGGGAGCACCUUGGAUCAACUGCCGUAAGAAUCUGCCUUCUCCACUUUUCUGUGCUAAUAUGAAGGCAGCUCUGACAGCAUUUCCCAAACUGUGCUCAGGACAGCGCUGUGUGCUGGGAGACCCUGAUAGGUCCACCUAGGGAGAUAAAAAAUCAGGGCAGGUGUACGGUUGAAUACAUUCAAUGUACAGUCGAAUAGAUUCACUGAAAUGCUCUUGGAAAUUCACCAGUGCCCAUUAGUAUGUCAAGAGGUGUCCUGAAGUAAAGAAACAAGUUUGUCUUCAUUUAGCCUGGCUGUGGAGGGCUGCGGUGUAGGAAACAGAUUGCAGCAGACAGCGGCAGUGCCCGACCCACAUCCCCUUUGCCCUGCCACUCAGUGCUCUUCUGGUCCCAAUUCCACCUGCUGGCACCUGUGCUUUGUGCCUGUGUCUGGUUUCUCUUGCUGCAGGGACCUGUGGGGCUGCCCUGUGGCAGGCUGAGCAUGCAGGGGACCCGGUGUUGUCUGUGUUCCAGCCCCAGCAGCCCUCAACCAAUGAUUGAAGGGAUUGGUGUACAGAAGCCCCAGCUCCCUCACCUCUCGGGUGAGAUAACUUUGAGGCAAGUGUUUUACAUUGAUCCCUGUGCUUCCCCAGAGGGAUCAGGCUCCAGUUCCACUGUGGUAGCUGGCUUGAAAACAUGCCCAUUAUUGGCUGCCCUCCUUCCUUGUCUCACUUCCCCACUCCUCCCCACUCAUCUCUCCAAAUUUGAAUCUUCUUGCAUUAGAGUCCUGGGUUUGCUCCGGAAAGAAGCUCAACUAAAACUGAUCAGUGGUUACUUUUUAAUGGCUCCAUGUGAAUGUCCUAAAUAUUUCUCUCAACAGAUCCUGCAUUGCUGGACAUUGAAGUUGUUUCCUUUUUUUUCACUAUUAUAAACAAUCUUGUGGUGGACAUCCUUCUAGCUCAAUGGCUGUGUACAUUUUAAAUUAUUGCUUUAGAAACUAUUCUAGACAUAAAGCCACUGGUUCAAAAGACAUGCAUCGUUGUAGGGCUUUGAUAACUUUGUGGCAUCUGCAUUCUCCCCUUCUCAUCUUGUUCUAAUCUUGCCUUGCGUUCCACAGAAGGUACAGAGGGGCCAACCUUGGAUGUGCUCUGGAAUGAGGCUCCCUCACAGGGACUGGGAAAGGCAGAAUACAGGGAAUACAUGGCAGGAUGCAGGGAGACAG
rnacentral:lncRNA from 1 species